UACGGAGGGCGCAAGCGUUGUUCGGAAUCACUGGGCGUAAAGCGCGUGUAGGCGGCCCUGCAAGUCGGGUGUGAAAUCCCGAGGCUCAACCUCGGAACUGCACUCGAAACUGCUUGGCUCGAGUCCCGGAGAGGGUGGCGGAAUUCCCGGUGUAGGGGUGAAAUCCGUAGAUAUCGGGAGGAACACCAGUGGCGAAGGCGGCCACCUGGACGGUGACUGACGCUGAGACGCGAAAGCGUGGGGAGCAAACAGG
rnacentral:rRNA from 1 species